CCCGCACAAGCAGCGGAGCGUGUGGUUUAAUUCGAUGCUACACGAAGAACCUUACCAGGGUUUGACAUGCAAGUGGUAGGAACCGAAAGGCGACCGACCUUCGGGAGCUUGCACAGGUGCUGCAUGGCUGUCGUCAGCUCGUGUCGUGAGAUGUUCGGUUAAGUCCGCUAACGAGCGCAGCCCUCGCUGUGUGUUACAAGUGUCACACGGUACUGCCGGUCUUAAGCCGGAGGAAGGUGGGGAUGACGUCAAGUCCUCAUGGCCUUUAUGUCCAGGGCUACACACGUGCUACAAUGGAUGGUACAAAGAGCAGCGACCUCGCGAGAGUGAGCAAAUCUCAAAAACCCAUCCUCAGUUCGGAUUGGAGUCUGCAACUUGACUCCAUGAAGUUGGAAUCGCUAGUAAUCGCGGAUCAGCAUGCCGCGGUCGAAUACGUUCCCGGGCCUU
rnacentral:rRNA from 1 species